rnacentral:rRNA from 1 species
GAUGAACGCUGGCGGCGUGCCUAAUACAUGCCAGUCGAGCGAACGGACGAGAAUCUUGCUUCUCUGAUGUUAGCGGCGGACGGGUGAGUAACACGUGGAUAACCUACCUAUAAGACUGGGAUAACUUCGGGAAACCGAUGCUAGUACCGGAUAAUAUUUUCAACCGCAGGGUUCAAAAGUUAAAGACGGUCUUGCUGGCACUUAUAGAUGUAUCCGCGCUGCAUUAGCUAGUUGGUAAGUUAACGGCUUACCAAGGCAACGAUGCCUAGCCGACCGGAUAGCGGGUACGGCCCCACUGGAACUGAGACGCGGUCCUGACUCCUACGGGAGGCCGAAGUAGCGACGGUUGCGAGAUGGGCGAAAGCCUGACGGAGCAGCGCCGCGUGGGUGCUGAAGGUCUGCGGAUCGUAAAACUCUGUUAGUGUGGAAGAACAUAUGUGGAAGUAACUGUGCAUAUCUUGACGGUACCUAAUCAGGAAGCCACGGCUAACUACGUG